GGGUCGUUAGCUCAGUUGGUAGAGCAGUUGACUUUUAAUCAAUUGGUCGCAGGUUCGAAUCA
rnacentral:tRNA from 1 species